rnacentral:rRNA from 1 species
AGUGAACGCUGGCGGCGUGCUUAACACAUGCAAGUCGAACGAGAACGGAUUAUAGCUUGCUAUAAUUGUCAGCUAAGUGGCGCACGGGUGAGUAAUGUAUAGGUAAUAUGCCUCUUACUAAGGGAUAACAAAUGGAAACGUUUGCUAAUACCUUAUACUCCUUAUUAACAGAAGUUAAUAAGGGAAAGAUUUAUUGGUAAGAGAUUAGCCUGUAUUGUAUCAGUUAGUUGGUGGGGUAAUGGCUUACCAAGACUAUGACACAUAGCUGGUUUGAAAGGAUGAUCAGUCACACUGGAACUGAGACACGGUCCAGACUACUACGGGAGGCAGCAGUGGGGAAUAUUGCACAAUGGACGAAAGUCUGAUGCAGCAACGCCGCGUGGAGGAUGACACAUUUCGGUGCGUAAACUCCUUUUAUAUGAGAAGAUAAUGACGGUAUUAUAUGAAUAAGCACCGGCUAACUCCGUGCCAGCAGCCGCGGUAACAC